UAUGAUAUUCAUGGAUGAUAAGGUUUUUUCAUUGCAUAUUUAUUACUUGCAUUUUUUUCUAUUUUCUAUACAAUAACUACUAACUAUAUUUUGAUUGUUCUGACAGGGCCAAACAAUUCAUGCUACUGUCGGGAAGUUGAUAGAAUCAAUCUAUGUAUUUAGCAAUUUUAAGUUUGCGGAUUCCACAAAGUAUUACCAACUGAGUAGUGAAAUAUCAUUAUUUUUGCAUACAAUACAAAAGUAAAGGAGGUGAAAGGAUCAUCUAAAGGUUACCCAGAUUACUACUUCGAGUUUGCUACAGAGGAAAUAUUAGAAGAACACAUGCAGAGAAACAUGAAGAAUUCUUAGGAACUCAUGAGAAGAAGCUUUACCAAAAUUAAUAGAGAUAGAUAGAAGUACGCGAGGAACACUAGAAGAACAAGUGUUUUACAAGAGGAGAACAUUACAAGAACUUACUGAAAUGACGCACGAAAACUAGGCAAGUAAGACAAAUAGCAAUAGGGAAAGGCUGCAUACUAUAGACCCAAAGUGGUCGGACACUUCCCCGGACCCUACGCAAGCGGGAACUACAUGCAUCGGGCUGCCCUUUUUAGACAAAUAACAACGGAGCUUCACCUCACAAUACAAAUGGAGCUAUAUUAAAUGAUGAUGGGCGUGGAGAAAAAAUGUUAGAAUCACAUGAACUCUGCAAUGAAAC